ensembl:lncRNA
CAAGUCCCUCCACAACUUCUGCCAACUACAUUGUCACCAACCACAUCAGCCACAACCAGUCAACAUCAAGUCAACAGCAAACAAGUCCAUCCACAACUUCUGCAACUACAUCGUCACCAACACAAUCAGCAACAACCAGUCAAACAUCAAGUUUCAACCUCAACAAGUCCCUCCACAACUUCAGCAACUACAUCGUCACCAACCACAUCAGCAACAUCCAGUCAAACAUCAAGUUCAACAGCAACAAGUCCAUCCACAACUUCUGAAACUACAUCGUCACCAACCACAUCAGCAACAACCAGUCAAACAUCAAGUUCUACAACAAGUCCAUCCACAACUUCUGCAACUACAUCGUCACCAACCACCAUCAGCAACAUCCAGUCAAAACAUCAAGUUCAACCUCAACCAAGGUCCUUCCACAACUUCUGCAACUACAUCGUCACCAACCACAUCAGCACAACCAGUCAAACAUCAAGUUCAACAGCAACAAGUCCAUCCACAACUUCUGCAACUACAUCGUCACCAACCACAUCAGCAACAACCAGUCAAACAUCAAGUUCAACAGCAACAACAACAACCAGUCAAACAUCAAGUUCAACAACAAGUCCAUCCACAAGUUCUGCAACUACAUCAUCACCACCACAUCAGCAACAACCAGUGAAACAUCAAGUUCAACAACAAGUCCAUCCACAAGUUCUGCAACUACAUCAUCACCAACCAGUCAAACAUCAAGUUCAACAACAAGUUUAUCCACAACUUCUGCAACUACAUCGUCACCAACAACAUCAGCAACAACCAGUCAAACAUCAAGUUCAACAACAAGUCCAUCCACAAGUUCUGCAACUACAUCGUCACCAACCACAUCAGCAACAACCAGUCAAACAUCAAGUUCAACAACAAGUCCAUCCACAAGUUCUGCAACUACAUCGUCACCAACAACAUCAGCAACAACCAGUCAAACAUCUAGUUCAACAUCCACAAGUCCAUCCACAACUUCUGCAACUACAUCAUCACCAACCACAUCAGCAACAACCAGUCAAACAUCAAGUUCAACAACAAGUCCAUCCACAAGUUCUGCAACUACAUCAUCACCAACCACAUCAGCAACAACCAGUCAACAUCAAGUUCAACAACAAGUCCAUCCACAAGUUCUGCAACUACAUCGUCACCAACAACAUCAGCAACAACCAGUCAAACAUCUAGUUCAACAUCCACAAGUCCAUCCACAACUUCUGCAACUACAUCAUCACCAACCACAUCAGCAACAUCCAGUCAAACAUCAAGUUCAACAACAACAAAUCCAUCCACAACUUCAGCAACUACAUCGUCACCAACCACAUCAGCCACAACCAGUCAAACAUCAAGUACAACAGCAACAAGUCCCUCCACAACUUCUGCAUCUACAUCGUCACCAACCACAUCAGCAACAACCAGUCAAAAAUCUAGUUCAACAGACACAAAUCCAUCCACAACUUCAGCAACUACAUCGUCACCAACCACAUCAGCAACAUCCAGUCAAACAUCAAGUUCAACCUCAACAAGUCCUUCUACAACUUCUACAACUACAUCGUCACCAACCACAUCAGCCACAACCAGUCAAACGUCAAGUUCAACAGCAACAAGUCCAUCCACAAGUUCUGCAACUACAUCGUCACCAACAACAUCAGCAACAACCAGUCAAACAUCAAGUUCAACAACAAGUCCAUCCACAAGUUCUGCAACUACAUCGUCACCAAAAACAUCAGCAACAACCAGUCAAACAUCAAGUUCAACAACAAGUCCAUCCACAAGUUCUGCAACUACAUCGUCACCAACAACAUCAGCAACAACCAGUCAAACAUCAAGUUCAACAACAAGUCCAUCCACAAGUUCUGCAACUACAUCGUCACCAACCACAUCAGCAACAACCAGUCAAACAUCAAGUUCAACAAGUCCAUCCACAACUUCUGCAACUACAUCGUCACCAACCACAUCAGUAACAACCAGUCAAACAUCUAGUUCAACAUCCACAACUUCUGCAACUACAUCAUCACCAACCACAUCAGCAACAACCAGUCAAACAUCAAGUUCAACAUCAACAAGUCCAUCCACAACUUCUGCAACUACGUCAUCACCAACCACAUCAGCCACAACCAGUCAAACAUCAAUUACAACAGCAACAAGUCCCUCCACAACUUCUGCAUCUACAUCGUCACCAACCACAUCAGCAACAACCAGUCAAAUAUCAAGUUCAACAUCAACAAGUCCAUCCACAACUUCUGCAACUACAUCGUCACCAACAUCAGCAACAAGCAGUCAAACAUCAAGUUCAACAACAACAAGUCAAUCCACAACUUCUGCAACUACAUCAUCACCAACCACAUCAGCAACAACCAGUCAAACAUCAAGUUCAACAACAAGUCCAUCCACAACUUCUGCGACUACAUCGUCACCAACCACAUCAGCCACAACCAGUCAAACAUCAAUUACAACAGCAACAAGUCCCUCCACAACUUCUGCAUCUACAUCAUCACCAACCACAUCAGCAACAACCAGUCAAACAUCAAGUUCAACAUCAACAAGUCCAUCCACAACUUCUGCAACUACAUCGUCACCAACCACAUCAGCCACAACCAGUCAAACAACUAGUUCAACAUCCACAACUUCUGCAACUACAUCGUCACCAACCACAUCAGCCACAACCAGUCAAACAUCAAGUACAACAGCAACAAGUCCCUCCACAACUUCUGCAUCUACAUCAUCACCAACCACAUCAGCAACAACCAGUCAAACAUCAAGUUCAACAACAACAAGUCCAUCCACAUCUACUGCAACUACAUCGUCACCAACCACAUCAGCAACAACCAGUCAAACAUCAAUUUCAACAUCAACAAGUCCAUCCACAACUUCUGCAACUACAUCAUCACCAACAACAUCAGCAACAACCAGUCAAACAUCAAGUUCAACAUCAACAAGUUCAUCCACAACUUCUGCAACUACAUCGUCACCAACCAUAUCAGCAACAACCAGUCAAACAUCAAGUUCAACAUCAACAAGUCCAUCCACAACUUCUGCAACUACAUCGUCACCAACCACAUCAACAAUAACCAGUCAAACAUCAAGUUCAACAUCAACAAAUCCAUCCACAACUUCUGCAACUACAUCGUCACCAACCACAUCAGCAACAACCAGUCAAACAUCAAGUUCAACAACAAGUCCAUCCACAACUUCUGCAACUACAUCGUCACCAACCACAUCAGCAACAACCAGUCAAACAUCAAGUUCAACAACAAGUCCAUCCACAACUUCUGCAACUACAUCAUCACCAACCACAUCAGUAACAACCAGUCAAACAUCUAGUUCAACAUCCACAAGUCCAUCCACAACAUCUGCAACUACAUCAGCAACAACCACAUCAGCAACUGCAGGUGUUCAGCCAAUCUAUAUUGUUUCAGCAACUUUACCUCAAGAGACUUUUCGAGAAGAACUCACUAACCCAAACAGCACAACAUACAAAGAACUUGAAAGUCGAGUAAUAGACACGUGUACACCUAUCUACACAAGAAAAUAUGGAAAGAGAUUUGUCCGCUGCUUUGUGAAACAAUUCCGGUAAGUAUUUUUCAGUCAAUAACUGAAUACAGGUCAUCAUG